UACGUAGGGGUCGAGCGUUGUCCGGAUUUAUUGGGCGUAAAGAGCGUGUAGGCGGUCUGGUAGGUCCGUUGUGAAAACUCGAGGCUCAACCUCGAGACGCCGAUGGAAACCCUCAGACUAGAGUCCGGAAGAGGAGAGUGGAAUUCCUGGUGUAGCGGUGAAAUGCGCAGAUAUCAGGAAGAACACCCGUGGCUAAGGCGGCUCUCUAGUACGGUACUGACGCUGAGACGCGAAAGCGUGGGGAGCGAACAGG
rnacentral:rRNA from 1 species